UACGGGGGGGGCAAGCGUUGUUCGGAAUUACUGGGCGUAAAGGGCUUGUAGGUGGCCAACUAAGUCAGACGUGAAAUCCCUCGGCUUAACCGGGGAACUGCGUCUGAUACUGGAUGGCUUGAGUGUGGGAGAGGGAUGCGGAAUUCCAGGUGUAGCGGUGAAAUGCGUAGAUAUCUGGAGGAACACCGGUGGCGAAGGCGGCAUCCUGGACCAACAUUGACGCUGAGGAGCGAAAGCUAGGGGAGCAAACGGG
rnacentral:rRNA from 1 species